GACGGAAGGUGCAAGCGUUGCUCGGAAUCACUGGGCGUAAAGGGUGCGUAGGCGGCCGUGCAAGUCUGGCGUGAAAGCCCCGGGCUCAGCCCGGGAAGUGCGCUCGAAACUGCGCGGCUCGAGUGCCGGAGGGGAGAGUGGAAUUCCUGGUGUAGCGGUGAAAUGCGUAGAUAUCAGGAGGAAUACCGGUGGCGAAGGCGGCUACCUGGAUGAGUAUUGACACUGAGGCUCGAAAGCGUGGGGAUCAAACAGG
rnacentral:rRNA from 1 species